CCAGCCUUCCACCUCCUAGUCCCAUACCUUUUCCACUAGGUCACAGUGAAGCCCCCAUUUGGGGCACAAAUAUGAAAUUCUGUACCCAAAUUCACAGGGUGCUAGGUGGCACAGUGGGUAGAAUCAGGAAGACUCAUCCUUCUGAGUUCAAAUCUGGCCUCAGAUACUUCCGUGCAGUGUGACUCUAGGCAAAAACACUUACCCUCAUCCGCUUGUUUCCUCAUCUAUAACGUGAUAGAGAAGGAAAUGGCAAACCAAGGCAGUAUCUUUGCCAAGAGAAUGCCAAGGAGGGUCGUGACGAGACAGACAUGACUGAACGACAACCAGAAUGGGCAGUAGAAUAGUAUGAAGUCACCUUGGGCAGCUUCAAAUUAUGCACAGAUUAAAAUGGGAAGAGACUGAGCUGAGCCAGUACGUUUUCUUUCUUUCUUUCUUUCUUUCUGUCUUUCGAUGUGUUUCUUUCUUUCUUUCUUUGUUUAUUUCGUUGUUUCUUUCUUUCUUUCUUUCUUCCUUCCUUCCUUCCUUCCUUUCUUCCUUCCUUCCUUCCUUCCUUCCUUCCUUCCUUCCUUUCUUUCUUUCUUUCUUUCUUUCUUUCUUUCUUUCUUUCUUUCUUUCUUUCUUUCUUCCUUCCUUCCUUCCUUCCUUCCUUUCUUUCUUUCUUUCUUUCUUUCUUUCUUUCUUUCAUUCUUUCUUUCUUUCUUCCUUCCUUCCUUCCUUCCUUCCUUCCUUUCUUUCUUUCUUUUCUCUUUGUUUCUCUCUUUCUCUCUUCCUUCCUUCCUUCUUCCUUCCUCCCUUCUUUCUUUCUUUUUCUUUCUUUCUUUUUUCUUUCUUCUUCCUCCAUUCCUCCAUCCCUCCCUCCAUUUCUUCCUCCUUUCCUUCCUUCCUUCCUUCCUUCCUUCCUUCCUUCCUUCCUUCCUUCCUUCCUUCCUUCCUUCCUUCCUUCCUCCCUCCCUUCCUUCCUUCCUUCCUUCCUUCCUUCCUUUCUCCCUCCCUUCCUUCCUCCCUUUCUUCCUCCAUUCCUUCCUUCCUUUCUUGUCAAAAGGAUAGUGUACUGGGCCUGGAGUCAAGAAAACCCAAAUUCUGUCCAACCUCAGACCAUUACUAUCACUUAACUUCUAUCUGCCUCAGUGUGCCUAGUUGUAAAGUGAAGAUAUUAAUAGCACCUGCUUUCCAGAGUUGUUUUGAGGAUCAAAUGAGAUAAUAUUGUAAAGUGCUUAAUACAGUGCCUGGCAUGUAUUAAAUAAUGUGAAAAAUAAUUGAUUUAUUGAUCCAUGAUCUAGCCUUGGUUUAUUUUUAAUCAAAAUUACUCUGCGUAGUGUGAUACCAUAAAUGAUUGUUCAGUAUCCCCAUAUUCACAUGUAGUCAAAUCUAGGUUGAUUAUAGAGAUAUUGAUCCAUAUUACAUUCACAUCAGGUCAAAGAAAUUCUCUCUUACAUGAGACUUUUUAGGCUAUAAGAAGAAGAUUUAAGACCAUAUACUAGGAAUUGUGAGGGCAUUUGCUUAACCAUAAAAAUAUCUAGCUAGCAGAUCUCCACCCAUGUGGACUGAUGAGUGAUGCCAACACAAAGAAGGGGAUCAUCUGGACAUCUGCCAUCUGAUGCUUUUCCCCUAUCCAAUUUGGGGAGAUAAGCGUGUCAUUGCCCAUCUUAUGACUCUUUAGUCAUCAAUGGGUAUACAUCCUGCCUAUCCUGUGAUCAGAAAUGACCCUUAUCUCGCCCCUCUUGUGACCACUCAUGGAAAGUCCCCAAGUUAUUUUAGGAACUCCUUGACCCUUUGUCAUUUCCCGCAAUUAACUAACAUUGGGUAGGAUUCUGCCUGCUUGAUGACCGCCCAACUAUGGCCUUUGCUUCCUGCCCUUUGCCUCCAGACCACCAGUGUGAUCAUGGGACCACCAAUGAGAAUUUGUAUUUUUUGUUGUUUUUUAAUCUUUAUUUUUAAAUAUUUUCCCAUGUUUACAUGAUUCAUUUUCUUUCCCUUCCCCCUUCCCUCUCCCCUCCCAGAGCCAACAAGCAAUUCCAAUGGGUUGUACAAACAUUAUCACUUGAUACCUAUUUCCAUAUUAUUCAUUUUUGCUAUAGAGGGACUUUUUUAAAGCUUACACCCCAAAUUGCAUAUGCAUAUAUACCUGUGAUAAAUGAUGUCAUGUGUUCU
ensembl:lncRNA